rnacentral:lncRNA from 1 species
AGAAAGAAAACUCCCAAGAAAUAUCUAUCCCUGGGACGUCAAAAACUAUGGAAAUGAUGUUAGACAAAAAGCAAAUUUAAGCGAUUUUCUUAUUUGAGUUCAAAAUGGGUCAUAAAGCAGUGGAGACAACUUGCAGCAUCAACGAAGCGUUUGGCCCAGGAGCUGCUGACAAAGGUACGGUGCAGCGGGGGGUUCAAGAAGUUUUGCAAAGGAGAUGAGAGCCUUGAAGGUGGAGAGUGUAGUGGCUGGCCAUCGGAAGUUGACAGUGACCAACUGAGAGCACUCAUUGAAGCUGAUCCUCUUACAACUCCAUAAGAAGUUGCAGAAUAACUCAACAUUGAGCCUUCUAUGGUCAUUUAGCAUUUGAAACAAAUUGAAAAGGUGCAAAAGCUCAAUAAGUGGGUGCCUCAUAAGCUGACCGAAAAUGAAAAAAUGUCAUCACUUCGAAGUAUCAUCCUCUCUUAUUCUAUGCAACAAUGAAGCAUUUCUCAAUUGGAUUGUGACAUGCGACGAAAAGUGGAUUGUAUAUGACAACCAUUGACAACGAGCUCUGUGAUUGGACUGAGAAGAAGCUCCAAAGCACUUCCCAAAGCCAAAUUUGCACCCAAAAAAUGCCAUGGUCACUG